CAUCGGGCAUAAACAGGCCCACCACGCCUGGAAAAAGCUGGGCUGGAAAGCCUCGAAGCCCUUAAACCCUAAUCCCUUGCUAUUCCCUGCUAAAAAUGUCAUUAACGCUAGUUUUACGUUCCAAUUAUAUUAAGCAGAUUGUCAGAAUUAAGAAACCCUGGUGACGCGCCACCCAAAUCCUGCCAGAGAAAUUCGGUUCUUGUAGCCGGACAAUUUCUCAAUUAUCAAACCGUGCACAUCAUUUAUCAUCUGUAAUUACACUUUCAAUGCAUGAAGGCGUCGCGUCCUUUCCAAUUCCUAAUUAGGAACGUUUCUCGAUGUUCACUUCAGGGACUAGCUUCCUUCUCCUCGUAUUCGUCUGCAAACCCUAGAUCACUCAAUUUCUCUACUGACGAAGAUGAUGUUGAUGUUGAAGUUGAAGAAGGCGGCAGCUCCGUUUAUCGACAUGCUCUCCGACAGCAGCGGCCAACCACCAUAAGAUGGCAACCUCAGCUGGAGAAUUCUGUCAGCUUUAUUGGAUGGGUUGAUCGGCCCCUGGAGGUUUACAAGACGAAAAACGACCACUUUGGGGCUUAUACCUUUAUCAACGUGAAAAACCCUGAUAAUUCAAAUCGCACGUUUAGGAUGCAAGUGGAGAUGUGGGAUGAUAUGGCAAAAAUGGGAAUCCAACAUCUUAAGCAAAAUGAUACUAUAUAUGUUUCGGGCCAUUUAGGUUCUUAUAAGAAGGCCGAUGGGAAUGGAAAUCACGUAUCAUGUUACAAGAUAAUUGUAAAAGACUUGUGCUAUGUUGCACAAUGUGAUCAAGGCCCAGUUUGCCAAAAACGUGAGGAAUCACAAUCAAAAGCCUUCCAAAAAUCAGCAGAAUCACAAUCAAAGCCCAGCGAAAGAACAAAGGAAUCAAAGUCAGGGAGAGGUAUCAGCUUUUAGCUAUUUGUUGAAGUAUAUUCUAAUGCAAAUGUCUAUCUCCCUUUUGCCUUGCUCAUGUAGUUGAUGUGAGGAUUCAAAUUAGAAACAAUUUGCAGUUCAACUAACAUAGGGGAUAACUUUAGAUGGAGUGAGUAUAUGAUGUGUGUUACUGACAAGUGAUGAAAUGUUAGAUACAGAAAAGGAGAGUGAGAAGACUAUCAUAGUAAUUAUUAUCCAUUUUCAGGGCUUUACUGUUUCUUUGCAUAUGAACAUAUAAGUAAUUAGGUCAGUAACUUUCCUGUCAGAAAUGUUGCCUUUUGCCCAACCUUAACAAGUAAUUUGAGCCUCAAUAUAUAUGUGCUAAGUAUGUUGGGAUAGGCCAAAUUGCCCAACCUGAACCUAUGUGAAUCGAGCUUGCUGUUUUAUUGGGAUGGUUUGACAUUAUUAGUAAUAUAGGCUAAAGUCUUCUUUAUUGCCUUUCUCUUAACAAUUUUGAGUUCUCUUUUUUCUUCCAUCCUUAUCUCUUUGUGUUUCUUGCAAUAAAUUCAGGUGAACUUGGCUUGGAAAGUCGCAAAGACCUUCUGUACUUGUGGCAAUUGUUCUUUUGCAAGCCAUAUGAAUGGUGGGAUAAGAGGAAGAAUAAACAAAAUUCAUCUUCACCAGAUUUUAAGCACAAGUAUACUGGUGAAAACCUUUGGCUGAGGCCAGAUGACCCACCAUGGGUCAAAAGACAACUGCAAUUGCUUGACUUGGAAAUGGCCAAGCAAAGGCAUGCACUAGGUGUAUGUGAAUUUGGCAUGGAAAGAACAAGCCAACUCCACUUGUGGCAUGUCUUUUUCAGAAGCCCACAUGAAUGGUGGGAUAAUAGGCAAAAUAAGAAAAACUCACGGUUACCAGAUUUUAAGCACAAAUUUUCUGGUGAAGCACUUUGGAUGAGUGAAGAUGAUCCACCAUGGGUCGAAAGGCAGCUUCAGCUUCAUGAUUCCAAAAUGGUCCAUGAGUCCAAAAUGGCAAAACAAUGCCAAGCGGAAAAUAUCUUCAAAUGGAAUUUUGAUGGUGGGGAACUAAUCUAGAGGAUCUUUAAUAUUAAUGGAGUUAUAACACAACGUAGUUGCAUUUCCUCUUGUUUGUACAUAUUGACUGAAUACAAUGUACCAAAAAUCUCAUUGAUUGCUUAUGACUAGACGCCGGAGCUGAUUUAUAUUAAGAAUGAUAUUGUUUUUGUAACAGAAUGUAAGGAAGCCAUGUAUUGUGGAAUGUGAAUACAAAGUUGCGUCAUUUUCUAAGGCAAGUUGUCCCUUCAUCUCAUUCUUGAUGAACAGGCCUUGGGCUUUUAUGCGAUAACGCUAAUGCUUCAAGACUCAGUUCAUAGAAAUGAAGGUCAACUAUCAUGUUUAGAAGGGGAAGUAAAGAAUUAGCAAAACAUGUUGAACUUCAUAA
rnacentral:misc_RNA from 1 species